AGUGAACGCUGGCGGUAGGCCUAACACAUGCAAGUCGAACGGCAGCACAGUAAGAGCUUGCUCUUACGGGUGGCGAGUGGCGGACGGGUGAGGCAUACAUCGGAAUCUACUUUUUUGUGGGGGAUAACGUAGGGAAACUUACGCUAAUACCGCAUACGACCUACGGGUGAAAGCAGGGGAUCUUCGGACCUUGCGCGUUUGAAUGAGCCGAUGUCGGAUUAGCUAGUUGGCGGGGUAAAGGCCCACCAAGGCGACGAUCCGUAGCUGGUCUGAGAGGAUGAUCAGCCACACUGGAACUGAGACACGGUCCAGACUCCUACGGGAGGCAGCAGUGGGGAAUAUUGGACAAUGGGCGAAAGCCUGAUCCAGCCAUACCGCGUGGGUGAAGAAGGCCUUCGGGUUGUAAAGCCCUUUUGUUGGGAAAGAAAAGCAGCAGGUGAAUACCCCGCUGUUCUGACGGUACCCAAAGAAUAAGCACCGGCUAACUUCGUG
rnacentral:rRNA from 1 species